AUUGAACGCUGGCGGCAGGCCUAACACAUGCAAGUCGAGCGGAUGAGUGGAGCUUGCUCCAUGAUUCAGCGGCGGACGGGUGAGUAAUGCCUAGGAAUCUGCCUGGUAGUGGGGGACAACGUUUCGAAAGGAACGCUAAUACCGCAUACGUCCUACGGGAGAAAGUGGGGGAUCUUCGGACCUCACGCUAUCAGAUGAGCCUAGGUCGGAUUCGCUAGUUGGUGAGGUAAAGGCUCACCAAGGCGACGAUCCGUAACUGGUCUGAGAGGAUGAACAGUCACACUGGAACUGAGACACGGACCAGACUCCUACGGGAGGCAGCAGUAGGGAAUAUUGGACAAUGGGCGAAAGCCUGAUCCAGCCAUGCCGCGUGUGUGAAGAAGGUCUUCGGAUUGUAAAGCACUUUAAGUUGGGAGGAAGGGCAGUAAGUUAAUACCUUGCUGUUUUGACGUUACCAACAUAAUAAGCACCUGCUAACUUCGUGCCAGCCGCCGCGGUAAGAC
rnacentral:rRNA from 1 species